AGUGUGGUUAUGCAGUAGGUGAGGUCAUCACAGAAAAAUGUGACCAAUCACCAAGGAAUAGUAUCCUGCUUUUAUCGAGAAAUGCUUUCCAGUUAAAUGUUCAUGACUCCCCUCUUUGCUACAUCUACUGCAAGAAUGAAGACCAUUCUCAGCAAUCAGACUGUCGACAUUCCAGAAAAUGUCAACAUCACUCUGAAGGGACGCACAGUUACUGUGAAGGGCCCCAGAGGCACCCUGCAGAGGGACUUCAGUCACAUCAAGGUAGAACUCAGUCUCCUUGGAAAGAAAAAGAAGAGGCUCUGGGUUGACAAGUGGUGGGGAAAUAGAAAAGAACUGGCUACUGUUUGCACUAUCCGUAGUCAUGUACAGAACAGGAUCAAGGGUGUUACACUGGGCUUCCGUCACAAGAUGAGGUCUGUGUAUGCUCACUUCCCCAUUAACAUUGUUAUUCAGGAGAAUGGUUCGCUUGUUGGAAUCUGAAAUUUCUUGGGUGAAAAAUACAUAUGCAGGGUUCGGAUGAGGCUGGGUGUUGCUUGUUCAGUAUCUCAAGCUCAGAAAGAUGAGUUAGUUCUUGAGGGAAAUGACAUUGAACUGGCAUCAAAUUCAGCUGCUUUGAUUCAGCAAGCCACGACAAUUAAAAACAAGGAUAUCAGAAAAAUUUUGAAUGGUAUCUAUGUUUCUGAAAAAGGAACAGUUCAGCAGGCUGAAGAAUAAUAAUCUAAGUUGUCCAGGUACAGAAAGAGCAAGAUACCAGAUGACUCUUCAGAUUCAUUAGUGAUAUCUUAAGGAUACGAUAAAAGCUGUGUUGA